GGUGACGUGUCUGAGCGGCCUAAGGAGCACGAUUGGAAGUCGUGUGUGCGUGCAAGCGCACCGUGGGUUCAAAUCCCACCGUCACCGCCA
rnacentral:tRNA from 5 species